rnacentral:rRNA from 1 species
CUCUACUGCCAUGCGAACCUGAAUGCUCCCAAUCUCAUCUGAUCUUGAAGGCUAAGCAGGCUUAGGCCUGGUUAGUACUUGGAUGGAAAAAAAUUGGUAUAUAUACCGAUGGUAAAGUAGAGC